UUAGAGUUUGAUCCUGGCUCAGGAUGAACGCUGGCGGCGUGCCUAACACAUGCAAGUCGAACGGACUCAUAUUGAAACCUAGUGAUUUAUGAGUUAGUGGCGGACGGGUGAGUAACGCGUGGAAAACCUGCCGUAUACCGGGGGAUAACACUUAGAAAUAGGUGCUAGUACCGCAUAAGCGCACAGCUUCGCAUGAAGCAGUGUGAAAAACUCCGGUGGUAUACGAUGGUUCCGCGUCUGAUUAGCUGGUUGGCGGGGUAACGGCCCACCAAGGCAACGAUCAGUAGCCGGCCUGAGAGGGUGAACGGCCACAUUGGGACUGAGACACGGCCCAAACUCCUACGGGAGGCAGCAGUGGGGAAUAUUGCACAAUGGACGAAAGUCUGAUGGAGCAACGCCGCGUGAGUGAAGAAGGGUUUCGGCUCGUAAAGCUCUGUUGGUAGUGAAGAAAGAUAGAGGUAGUAACUGGCCUUUAUUUGACGGUAAUUACUUAGAAAGUCACGGCUAACUACGUGCCAGCAGCCGCGGUAAUACGUAGGUGGCAAGCGUUGUCCGGAUUUAUUGGGCGUAAAGCGAGUGCAGGCGGUUCAAUAAGUCUGAUGUGAAAGCCUUCGGCUCAACCGGAGAAUUGCAUCAGAAACUGUUGAACUUGAGUGCAGAAGAGGAGAGUGGAACUCCAUGUGUAGCGGUGGAAUGCGUAGAUAUAUGGAAGAACACCAGUGGCGAAGGCGGCUCUCUGGUCUGCAACUGACGCUGAGGCUCGAAAGCAUGGGUAGGCGAACAGGAUUAGAUACCCUGGUAGUCCAUGCCGUAAACGAUGAGUGCUAAGUGUGGAGAGGUUUCCGCCUCUCAGUGCUGCAGCUAACGCAUUAAGCACUCCGCCUGGGGAGUACGACCGCAAGGUUGAAACUCAAAGGAAUUGACGGGGGCCCGCACAAGCGGUGGAGCAUGUGGUUUAAUUCGAAGCAACGCGAAGAACCUUACCUGGUCUUGACAUCCGGACGCCGUAUGGGCAAAGCCAUAUUUCCUUCGGGACGUCCGAGACAGGUGGUGCAUGGUUGUCGUCAGCUCGUGUCGUGAGAUGUUGGGUUAAGUCCCGCAACGAGCGCAACCCUUACCUUCAGUAGCCAGCGGGAGAAGCCGGGCACUCUGGAGGGACUGCCAGGGACAACCUGGAGGAAGGUGGGGAUGACGUCAAAUCAUCAUGCCCCUUAUGAUUUGGGCUACACACGUGCUACAAUGGCGUAAACAAAGGGAGGCAAAGGAGUAAUCUGGAGCAAACCCCAAAAAUAACGUCUCAGUUCGGACUGUGGUCUGCAACCCGACCACACGAAGCUGGAAUCGCUAGUAAUCGCGAAUCAGAAUGUCGCGGUGAAUACGUAACCGGGUCUUGCACACACCGCCCGUCA
rnacentral:rRNA from 1 species